AUGAAGAUGUUUGUGGUGUUUGUGAUCCUCGUGCACGUGUCCCAGCAUGCCUCAGCUGUGGAGCUCUAUGAGGGGGAGGAGUUUGUCCUGCUGCCCUGUGAGUAUCAAACUUAUGAAAUCCGUUACCCCGCAGUGGUGUGGAGCCGCUACGAUCUCAAUCCUCCAACCGUCCACCAGCGUCAGCCGGAAGGUGAUGAACUUAAAGACCAAAACCAGCUUUACAGCGGCCGAACAUCCAUGAUGGCUGACGCUCUGGAAACUGGAGACCUCAGCCUCACUCUGACAAAACUCCGCCUCUCUGACAGCGGCAACUACACCUGCACCGUCAGAUCAUUUCAGGGAGAAUGGAAAGUGAGAAACAUACAGCUGCAGGUCAAAGUUUCCCAGCAUGCCUCAGUUGUGGAGCUGUAUGAGGGGGAGGAGUUUGUCCUGCUGCCCUGUGAGUAUCAAAUGUCUGAACUGGACAACCCCACAGUGGUGUGGAGCCGCUACGAUCUCAAUCCUCCAACCGUCCACCAGCGUCAGCAGGAAGGUGAUGAACUUAAAGACCAAAACCAGCUUUACAGCGGCCGAACAUCCAUGAUGGCUGACGCUCUGGAAACUGGAGACCUCAGCCUCAGUCUGACAAAACUCCGCCUCUCUGACAGCGGCAACUACACCUGCACCGCCAGAGCAUUAGGAGGACAACGGAGAGUAAGAGACAUACAGCUGCAGGUCAAAGCACGGUUUCCAUCCUGGGCCACAGCUCUCCUGGUUCUCCUCGUUCUCCUGGUUCUCGGUCUUAUUGUUGGGGGUCUUUUUGUGUAUUUUCGGCAGUAUUUCAUGUCAGGUACGUCACUACUACAUUACCCAUAAUCCUGAUGGUUACCAUCUUUACUCUCGUAUCUUUGUGACUGUUGAGCAAGUUUUCAUAGAAAUAUAGGACGUUGAGGGCAACUAUAAACCAAAGGUCACACUGCCUACUUGAGCAGUGUGUGGUGGAAUCUCGCUCAUAUGUUAACAGAGCUUUUAUUGUAUUUGUAUUUAUCAAAGGCAAAUUCAGUAUAGAAAAACAGGGCUGUGUAAACACCACGUGCUGGUCACACUCAGGUAGGCAAUGUGAACCAAGGGUAAGAGAAGGAUGGUGCAGUGAAGUCUUGUUACAAUCAGAGUAACUGCUGCUGUCUGUACAGCUUAAAUUAUGGUUGGUUGUUAGAGUUGUUCUGGGUCAAAGGUCAGUGUUGAAGAUACACGUCAGAGAUCUGUACUAGAGAUACAGGCUCGAGGUCAGUGCUGUAGAUACACGUCAGAUGUCAGUAGACACAGGUCAGAG
rnacentral:lncRNA from 15 species